AGAUUGAACGCUGGCGGCAGGCCUAACACAUGCAAGUCGAGCGGCAGCACGGGUACUUGUACCUGGUGGCGAGCGGCGGACGGGUGAGUAAUGCCUAGGAAUCUGCCUGGUAGUGGGGGAUAACGCUCGGAAACGGACGCUAAUACCGCAUACGUCCUACGGGAGAAAGCAGGGGACCUUCGGGCCUUGCGCUAUCAGAUGAGCCUAGGUCGGAUUAGCUAGUUGGUGAGGUAAUGGCUCACCAAGGCGACGAUCGUA
rnacentral:rRNA from 1 species